rnacentral:rRNA from 2 species
GAUCGAGCUUCGGGGUUAGCGGCGGACGGGUGAGUAACACGUAUGCAACCUGCCUGUAAGAUCGGGAUAACUACCGGAAACGGUAGCUAAGACCGGAUAGCUAACCGCAUCGCAUGAUGCGGUUAUGAAACACGGCGCAAGCUGUGGCUUACAGAUGGGCCUGCGGCGCAUUAGCUAGUUGGUGGGGUAACGGCCCACCAAGGCGACGAUGCGUAGCCGACCUGAGAGGGUGAUCGGCCACACUGGGACUGAGACACGGCCCAGACUCCUACGGGAGGCAGCAGUAGGGAAUCUUCCGCAAUGGACGCAAGUCUGACGGAGCAACGCCGCGUGAGUGAUGAAGGUUUUCGGAUCGUAAAGCUCUGUUGCCAGGGAAGAACGCCUUGGGGAGUAACUGCCCCGAGGGUGACGGUACCUGAGAAGAAAGCCCCGGCUAACUACGUGCCAGCAGCCGCGGUAAUACGUAGGGGGCAAGCGUUGUCCGGAAUUAUUGGGCGUAAAGCGCGCGCAGGCGGCCGCUUAAGUUUGGUGUUUAAGCCCGGGGCUCAAC